UACGUAGUGAAAAUUUUAUGGGUGAAACCAAAAACAUGCUUGUUUUGCCAUAAACAUUUCGAGCAAAGGUUUCACACAGCGUCAAAUCAUCUGAAGAUUGGAGCUUACCCUACUUUAUUUUACGGAUCUGGGAGAUAUCCCCGGGAAGACCAUCAAUUGCCUCCAGAGAAAGAGAUAUAUUCAGUGACCACAGUUACUCAAGGAAGCGACACAUUGAUCACUCGUAUACACUACCUUAUGAGCAAAAACCUAAUAAAGGUGCACAAACUGAGGUUUCUGAUACAUAUGUCUUGCCUACAAUACCAGGUCAACUUGUGCCCGUUGCAUCAUCAAGUUCCGCACUGCACUAUGCAUCAGCCUCAAUAUGUAAAACACCACGAAAAGUAGUCAAAAGAAGGCUUAUUAAGAAUGUAAAGGCCUUAACACCGAGGUGCAAACUUUUAUACAAUGAACAUAAAAAGGUUAGAAACCAAAAAGAAUACAACACACAAGUCAAAAGGGCACUGACUGGCCUUCAGUAAAACUGAGUGUUUAGAAGAAGUUCUAAAUAAGAUGAACCCAUUGUCGAGAAAUGUUCUGUCAAUGCAAAUGAAACUUUACAUGAAAAAAAAGAUGGCCAGAAGGUUUACAACCGAAGAGAAACUUAUUGCUCUUUCAAUUUACAAGCAAGGUCCAAAAUGUUACAAGUUUCUCCAAAAGAUAUUCAUUUUGCCUUCAAAAUCAACUUUGAAGAACUUGAUAAGCCAACUAAAUAUUGGUGCUGGCAUAAAUCCACAAAUAUUCGACCUUAUAAAAAAUCAGGUAAAAAGCUGGGACAGCAAAAGAAGAUUGUGUACAGUGCUAUUUGAUGAAAUGUCACUAGAAACUGCUCUAACAUAUUCAAAUUACAAGGACGACAUUGUUGGAUUUGUUGAUUUAAAUGGAAAAACCAACAGCUUUAC